rnacentral:rRNA from 1 species
AUUGCGCCCCCCGGUAUUCCGGGGGGCAUGCCUGUUCGAGCGUC